rnacentral:rRNA from 1 species
UACGUAGGGGGCAAGCGUUGUCCGGAUUUAUUGGGCGUAAAGAGCGUGUAGGCGGCCAAGCAGGUCCGCUGUGAAAACUCGAGGCUCAACCUCGAGACGUCGGUGGAAACCGUUUGGCUAGAGUCCGGAAGAGGAGAGUGGAAUUCCCGGUGUAGCGGUGAAAUGCGCAGAUAUCGGGAGGAACACCUGUGGCGAAAGCGGCUCACUGGACCAUAACUGACGCUGAUGCACGAAAGCUGGGGGAGCAAACAGG